AGUUAUUUUCAUUGUGAAUUUAUAGUGGGUGGCUAUUCUUCAUUUAUAGAUGGAGUUCACUUUUAGCUUAAGACUUUUUAUGAAAGGAAAAAGUCAUUCUGAUUUCAGGAUGUGUUAGUAAGAAUGUUGACAUCACACUGGAGGUUCUGAUCAAUUUCUUGUUUUGUGAAUACCCUUGUUGUGAAUCCCAGAGUUGUGGAAAUUUUAUAGUUUAAAAUUUUUACUCCUAUUUUGUUUGCCACAGGUAACUUUUAGAACCACUCUGAACACUGAUUUUGCUAUUCAAAAGAUUUAAAGAUGUGUCAUUAAGCUGAUACUGAGAAAUGUUUUCAGUAUGAAGAUGGUUGGGGACAGAAGUUAGCAAGGAGGCUGGGAUGAGAAAAAUAAAAAAAUUACCUUCUCUUUUCUGGUUUUUAAAACAUCUUGAUUUUUAAAAAAAAAAAAAAUUCAGGCUUAUUGAGGUACAACUUAUAUGCAGUAAAAUUCACCCUUUUAGGUAUGAAGUUCAAUGAGUUUUGACAAAAGUAUUCAGUUGUGUAACCACCACCACAAUGGAGAGAGCGAGCUUUCAAACACUGCAGACACUUUCUGGUGCCCUAUUGUAGUCAGUCCCACUGCCGGACCCUGGCAACAACUGAUUAGACUUCUGUCUUUGCUUUUUUCCAGAAUGAAAUAAACAGAGUAUGUAUAGAAUCAUACAGUGUGUAGUCUUUUGCAUCUGGUUUCUCAUCCUUAGAAUAAUACUUCGAGAUUUGUUCUUAUUGAUUUCAUAAUCAAAUGCAAAAUCCAAAAUAUAUACCUGACUUUUAAAUUUUCUUGUAUACUAUGGCCCGCUCCAUUCCGUUGAUGCAUGUGAUAGUUUGAUUGUAAUAUAAGGACUGGCAGACAACACACCUUCAGAGGCGAUGCUUUGACGGUGCAAUUCCUGGGUCUGGGACAUUGACGUGGGAUAAUCUCGCCUGGGUUUUUGGUUCUGUUUCCCAUCACUGUCGGCAGGUCAGUAUCUUACCUUGCUGCUUCUCAUCUUGGCUAGUGGCUUACGGUCACAGGAGGAGUCUUGGCCAGAAUGCUUUCUGCUCUAAUCUAUUCUGAGUAGGGUGUGAUUUUGUGCAGCUUUGGAGAAACAAGUAGAAGCCAAGUAGAGAAUACUGCAGUCUGGCUAAGGAUGUCCUCAAAAGGAGAGAUUCGUUGAGGUCCUGUGAAAAACAUUAAUCAUUUACUGGGGCUGGACAUAUCAGAGUGUCACAAGCUCCUGCCUCAGUGAAGUGGAGUAGAAAUAGAUGCCUCAACUUCAAAUAUCCCCUACUCUUUCCAUCCCUCCCUUUGCCUUUUUUCUUCCCCUCUUUGGCUAUAAAGUAAUAACAGGGAUCAGACCUUAUACAAUUUAUAUGCAAUGUAGGUUAUUUCUCUCCCAAUAACAGUUCCCAGUGACUCCAAUGUAAUAAGAAUGGUUGUUAGGAAGGUUAUUGUGGGUAUUUUAAAAACUCUUUGAUAUUAUUCAGCCUACUUCUUUUCCCUAGGCUGUGAUUUAUCAUUGUGCUCUCCUAUAACAUAGAAAAGCUAUUGGCUUUAAAGGACUUUACUUAUUAAAUACCUUUCAGGUGCCAAUUCAGUUCCUUGACCUUGACUCUUUCAAUCUAUAUUUUUCAUAGUUUAAAAUCCCUUCCCUUGAAUUAAGGUCUUAAGUCUUAUAAUCGUUCCUAUUUAGCUUUUCUCACCUUUUUUUUUUUUUUAAUUUAUCCAUUGGGAACUGAAGUUUGUAGGUGAUGUGCCAUUAGUCUUGUUUCUCUUCUGGUAUUUUUUUCUCCAGUUCCAAGUCAUUCUGAUUAUUUUGGUCACCAUGUUGCCUUAUAAACAUGGUCAUCUCAUUCAGCACUCUCAAAUAUGUGUUCCCUCUGGUGGAUCACCAAAUUUUUCUAUUUCAUUAAAUAAAUAAUUGAUUCCAUCACUUUAUCCAGAAAAAUAUUCUCAGUUGCAUUUUGUUGAAUUAUAUUUUAUUUUUUACCCAUAUUAAUGGUGCCCUUGACUCUUUUUGACAAUCUUUCUUACACCUUCUGGACUUAGAACCCAAAUAAUUAUCAGUGGCAAAGUAAAUGUUAGCUAAUGCUUUUUAGCACAUUAAGAUGCAUAUCCUUUGGAUCUGGAGAUUUUUACAUUAACUUUAAAAUAGCAUGUUAUUUUUGGAUGCAUUAACAAGACCUCCUCAGCAUUAUCUUUCCCUAAUGCUCAACUGUGUUAGUUUUAUUUUAAAUGUGAGAUUUACAAAGGAGCUUCCAUUUGGGAGGACUAUUUUGAGACACUCAGUUGAGGAAGAUAAGGCUAUAAUAAUAUAUUUGUAUCUGUAUACAUUCACAUUAGUUUUUCCAUCAUUUAUUUUGAAAUGUAUUAUUACCUUUUUAUUAUAAUGAUGAGAAAUGUCAGGUUCGGAGUAGCAUGACAUCCAGUGCAUGGUGUAAAGUAAGCUCCAGCAGCAAAAAGAUGGCGUAUCUAAUCCUUGUUGCUCCCAUGACUCUGGAAAGACAGGGCUGGGACGAUUGAAUCAUUCAUUGACUAAACACUGAGACCCCUUCUGCAGAACCUGUGGACACGUUAAGGGCAGGCGUGCUUAUCUGGUACAUCAUUAUAUUGCAGAUGUAAUGGUGUAGCGACUGAUAAAUAAUAGGACUGGCCCUACACAAAGGAAAUCAGCCCUGAAUAUUCAUUGGAAGGACUGGUGAUGCAGCUGAAACUCCAAUACUUUGGCCACCUGAUGCGAAGAACUGACUCAUCUGA